GACGUAGGGUGCAAGCGUUGUCCGGAUUUACUGGGCGUAAAGAGCGCGUAGGCGGUCUUGUAAGUGUGAAGUGAAAUCUCCAGGGCUCAACCCGGAAACUGCUUUGCAUACUGCGAGACUAGAGGGAUGCAGAGGUUUGUGGAAUUCCCGGUGUAGCGGUGAAAUGCGCAGAUAUCGGGAAGAACACCCGUGCGAAGGCGGCUCUCUGGGACGGUACUGACGCUGAGACGCGAAAGCGUGGGGAGCGAACAGG
rnacentral:rRNA from 1 species